AUUUUUUACUACAAAUGCAGAUAAUUCUCCACCCAAAAAAAAUUAAAAAAAGCUGAAGUUGCAGUUAAGGGGGAUUCGUUUAUGGCCCUUUUUCUUUUCCCUUUCUCAUUUUGAUUUCUCAAGUGUUUACAUAAUUGCAUUACUACUAUUACCACAUCUUUAGAAGUUGUAAAAUUCGUUUUACAAUUGGUAAAGUUGAUAGUUUCCUGCUCAAUUUGGUUGCUUUUUGAGCUGAUUCUUUUAUUUUAGUUCAGUUCUUGAAGGUCAUGCUUGUUAGGAAGCUCUUUGUUUUCUUGAUUAUUGCUCUCAGUUGCUUCAAGGUGCUGAGAUUUGUUGGGGCAAAGCUGGUCCAAGAAGAAGUUGAUGCUCUGGAAGAAAUUGCAAGGACAAUGGGCUCAACAUACUGGAAGUUUAAUGCUGAUUCUUGUGAACUUGAAGAGGUUGGAAUAACGCCAGAGCCACCAAAGAAUGCAGAGUACAGCAUAGACUGCAAAUGCAAUAAUGAGAACAAUACUGAUUGUCACGUCAUAAGGAUAUUGCUCAAGGGUUAUAAUCUUCCUGGGUUUCUUCCUCCUCAACUUGUUAAGCUUCCUUACCUCCAAGAAAUUGAUUUUGCUUACAACUUGCUCAAUGGUUCCAUGCCACGUGAAUGGGCUUCAUUGCCAUUGACCUCAAUCUCUGUUCUUGUAAAUCGCUUGUCAGGAGAGAUUCCAAAGGAAUUGGGAAAUAUUACCACACUUACAUAUCUGUGCCUUGAAGCAAAUCAAUUUUCUGGUGCCAUACCUUCUGAACUUGGAAAGUUAAUCAACCUGCAAACAUUGAUUCUGUCCUCAAAUCUGUUGACUGGAAACUUGCCGAUGUCCUUUGCUGGGCUAAUUAAUCUAACAGAUGUGAGGAUAAAUGAUAACAACUUCAACGGAACCAUUCCUAACUUCCUACAGAACUGGAAAAGACUUAUAAGAUUAGAAAUGCAUGCAAGUGGACUGGAGGGCUCCAUUCCAUCAAAUAUUUCCCUUUUGAAUAACUUAGUUGAGUUGUAAGUAUAAAACCAAGUCCUUUCAGCCUAGUAGCCUUAUGCGAUAUAGUUAUUUUAUUUUUUUGCUUACCAAUAUCAUUAUCUUCUGCUCAAGGUGAGGUAUUGUUAAAUUGUGAUACAGGAGAAUUAGUGACAUAAGAGGACCAAGCCAAGGCUUCCCUAAUCUAAGCAACAUGACAGGCAUAACAAGACUGGUUUUGAGGAACUGUAACAUUUCCGGGGAGCUUCAUCGCUAUAUCUGGAGGAUGGCGAAGCUAGAAAUGUUGGAUGUCAGCUUCAACAAGUUGGUUGGGACAAUUCCAGAUACCAUAACUGCGGAGCGUCUGCGAUUUGUCUUUUUAACAAGCAACUUGCUAAGUGGAGAUGUGCCAGAUUCAAUCUUGAAGGAUGGAAGUAAUAUGUAUGUAUCUAUCUGGGAUGUUAUUUCCUUUAUUUGUCUUUUCAGAUGUCAGCAAUUUGUACUGAUUCUGUGUGCUCAUUUUGCUGCUUCUCAUCUCUUAUUUGCUCUUGUUUCUUUGGAGUAUUGCAAUGCAGAGUUAUUUAAUAAGGCCAGGAAACAGAUUGUCCAAUUAAUAUGUGUGUUUGAGCUAAAAAAUUGUUUGCAUUUUUUUUCCCCUAAUAUUUCCAGAUAGUUGAACAGCAUAGCUAUCUACCUACUUGAAAUCAGAAAAAGUAGCACUCUGUUUUUUGGUCUCUCGCAUCUUUUCCUUGCUUGGUUGUCAUUUGAGAGGCAAAUAACAUGUGCGGAUUGUUGCCAGUUAUACUCAAGAAUCACAACAUGAACCCAUAACUGGAAGAGUGUGACACUUCAGAAUAGAAGAAGAAAGUUAGACCUAUUUUUUGCCAGCUUACUUUUUCAUCUUGUUCUUUACUUAGAUGUCCCUUUUUUCAUUCAUCUUUCUUUUCAUUAUUAUGAAUACUGUGGGAAGGCUGAAUCAGGAAAAAAAAUUAAGUUUUCAUUUUAGUUGUGAUUUGUGAACCUGCCUCAGUAAUGUUAGAUUUUAUUUGAAACAAUUUUUAGGCUAUGCCUAACAUUCCUCUAAUGCUUGUACACAGUGACUUGUCAUACAAUAACUUUACAUUGCAAGGCCCUGAACAAUCUGCUUGUCGAGAAAACAUGAACUUAAAUUUGAACUUAUACAGAAGCUCAACAGUGGUGAAUAGCUCAAGACACCUUCCAUGCAUGAAGACUUUCAAAUGUCCCAAGUGUGAGUAGAUGUUUUUUCUGAAAUUCGAUAUUGAUAUUGACUGCUCUAAAAUUCAAUUUAAUGUUUCACAACCUAAUUUAUACUUUCUUCUUGAGCUAGUGAACUUGCCUUGAGAUGCUUUAUCCUUUGUCUUCAUUAACUUAUUUAUUCUUUGUUGACAGAUUCAAGUUGUUUACAUAUUAACAGUGGCGGAAAAGACACAAUCAUCAAGGAAAAUAAAACAUCCAUUUUAUAUGAAGGAGAUGUGGCAGUUGAAGGUGGUGUGGCAAAAUAUUUUAUAAAUGACAAAAGCUACUGGGGAUUUAGUAGCACUGGGGACUUCAUGGAUGAUAACGAUUACCAAAAUACUCGUUAUACUGUGUCUCUGCAAUCGUCAAAUAUUUCUGAACUGUACUCAACAGCACGCAAAUCACCAAUUUCUCUUACGUAUUUCCAUUAUUGUUUACAAAAUGGGGAGUACAUUGUAAAACUUCACUUUGAUGAGAUACAAUUCACUAAUGACAAAACAUAUAGCAGCCUGGGAAGGCGCAUAUUUGAUAUUUAUAUUCAGGUAACUAGAAGCUUCCUAACUGUAGAAAAUUGGGAUGCGAUUUGUGGUUUUGAAUAAAGGGGUUUGGUGGUAGAAAGUAUUCCAAAACACUUUCAGAAAGGAUUCCAUUUUAAAUGUGGAUCCUAUUUAUUUUAAAUGUGGAUCCCACUAUAUAUAUUGUGUCUUGAGUUCAAGAUAGAUCAAGCGUAGCCAAGAAUUUCACAAUGGUGAAUGUCUAAGCCUGGUUUUGACAUAACAAGUAUUUCUUUCUAUCCAAAUACCAUCGUGAGGAAGGCAGGCACAAAUUUGAGGGAAAUUCUUGUCUAUCCUGUCUAUCAUGAAUACAAGACACAAUAUAUGUGGUGGGAUUCACAUAUUUGUGUCUUGAAUCCAUAAUGAAUAAAAAGUGAGGUAGGUUUUGCCAAGAUAAGAAAUUCUUGCCUAUAACUGGUCCAUCAUGAACUCAAAACACAGCAUUCAUGAUGAGACUCAUACAUCCAAAGCCAAAGAAAACACAGCUACUCACAUAAAAGGAAAGAAAAUAGAACAACACCAACUAUGAAUUCAUUCUAUGUUGCAGAAUGAAAGAGUGCAGAAGGAUUUCAAUAUUGAAGAUAAAGCUAAUGGCGUUAAUAAACCAUUCAUAGAAAAGUAUAAUGCUACAGUAACAAAUAACAUCUUGGAGAUCCGCUUCUUUUGGGCUGGCAAAGGUACUACAAGAAUUUCUGUUAGAGGAGUCUAUGGGCCCCUUAUAUCAGCUAUUUCUGUAGAUCCUAGUAAGUGAUCUUUCUUAUUCAUGUUAACACUGCUCCUUCUUUCAUUAACACAUGUUUACUAAGAUAUAAUAUAUCUAGUACAGUUGAUAAUAAUGAAUCACCACAUUGUAAGUAACCCUAGAAAUUUGCCAAAUCAUGGAGAAGCAUUGUUAGAUGCAUCAGAGCUACUGUUGGUAAACUAAUUGACUUGUAAAAUAGUUUUCUGAUGAAUUUUCCUCUCUAAAUUGGUUGGAAUUAAUAUUAAUUGGUCAUAAAUUAGGAUUUCAGGUUUAUGCGCCUAGAUGUUUCUACGUCAUAGAUGUUUAUUCUUUGUUUAUUGUUCACUGAAGUCUGAUAGGUUGGUACUUUUGUAGACUUUGAACCCCCUUCAGAUGGAAGGAAGACAAAAAUUGCACCAAUUGUUGUUGGAGUUGUAGGUUCAUGUCUCAUUCUAUUAGCAUUGAGUAUCAUUGUGUGGAGGUGCUAUUUCAGAGCAAAGAAUGAGACACAAAAAGAUUUUGAAGGACUCAAAAGUCAAACUAUUUCUUUUACCCUAAAGCAAAUUAGAGCUGCCACUAACAAUUUUGAUCCUGCCAACAAAAUUGGAGAAGGUGGAUUUGGACCGGUCUACAAGGGUUUGCUAUCUGAUGGCACAGUAGUUGCUGUGAAACAGCUUUCAUCUAAGUCAAGUCAGGGAAAUCGUGAAUUUUUGAAUGAGAUAGGCAUGAUUUCAUGUUUGCAACACCCAAAUCUUGUCAAGCUGCAUGGAUUUUGUGUUGAAGGGGACCAAUUAUUGCUGAUAUACGAGUACAUGGAAAAUAAUAGUCUUGCUCGUGCUUUGUUUGAUCGUGAAAAUAGCCAUCUUAAGCUGGAUUGGCCUACAAGACAAAAGAUCUGUAUUGGGGUAGCUAAGGGCCUAGCUUUUCUCCAUGAAGAAUCAAGAAUUAAGAUUGUUCAUAGAGAUAUCAAAGCUACUAAUGUG
rnacentral:misc_RNA from 1 species